GGAUUUGGUAAAGCAAACUGUUGCAUCUCUUGGUGAGAACAUAAAAGUCCGUAGAUUCGUUCGUUUCACCAUUGGCGAGACAGUUGGAGAUGCGAGUGAGAAGACCGAAGCAUGAACAGAGAAAAACAGAAUACCGGGCAUCAAGAGCAAAGCUAGACAUGGAAUCAUGGUGGCAGUGCAGAAGAAUGUGAAGCCAAGGUAAAAUUGUUUCUGUGGAAAGAAACUUGAAUAUUCAUUUUCCUCUCUUUU
rnacentral:misc_RNA from 1 species